rnacentral:rRNA from 1 species
UACGUAGGGAGCAAGCGUUGUCCGGAAUCAUUGGGCGUAAAGCGCGCGUAGGUGGCCUCAUAAGUCCGCUGUGAAAGUCAAAGGCUCAACCUUUGAAAGCCGGUGGAUACUGUGAGGCUAGAGUACGGAAGAGGCGAGUGGAAUUCCUGGUGUAGCGGUGGAAUGCGCAGAUAUCAGGAGGAACACCAAUAGCGAAGGCAGCUCGCUGGGACGUACUGACACUGAGGCGCGAAAGCGUGGGGAGCGAACAGG